AGUGAGCGCUGGCGGUAGGCCUAACACAUGCAAGUCGAACGGCAGCACAGUAAGAGCUUGCUCUUACGGGUGGCGAGUGGCGGACGGGUGAGGAAUACAUCGGAAUCUACUUUUUCGUGGGGGAUAACGUAGGGAAACUUACGCUAAUACCGCAUACGACCUACGGGUGAAAGCAGGGGAUCUUCGGACCUUGCGCGAUUGAAUGAGCCGAUGUCGGAUUAGCUAGUUGGCGGGGUAAAGGCCCACCAAGGCGACAAUCCGUAGCUGGUCUGAGAGGAUGAUCAGCCACACUGGAACUGAGACACGGUCCAGACUCCUACGGGAGGCAGCAGUGGGGAAUAUUGGACAAUGGGCGCAAGCCUGAUCCAGCCAUACCGCGUGGGUGAAGAAGGCCUUCGGGUUGUAAAGCCCUUUUGUUGGGAAAGAAAAGCAGCAGGUUAAUACCCCGCUGUUCUGACGGUACCCAAAGAAUAAGCACCGGCUAACUUCGUG
rnacentral:rRNA from 1 species